GACGAACGCUGGCGGCGUGCUUAACACAUGCAAGUCGAACGGAAAGGCCCUGCUUUUGUGGGGUGCUCGAGUGGCGAACGGGUGAGUAACACGUGAGUAACCUGCCCUUGACUUUGGGAUAACUUCAGGAAACUGGGGCUAAUACCGGAUAGGAGCUCCUGCUGCAUGGUGGGGGUUGGAAAGUUUCGGCGGUUGGGGAUGGACUCGCGGCUUAUCAGCUUGUUGGUGGGGUAGUGGCUUACCAAGGCUUUGACGGGUAGCCGGCCUGAGAGGGUGACCGGUCACAUUGGGACUGAGAUACGGCCCAGACUCCUACGGGAGGCAGCAGUGGGGAAUAUUGCACAAUGGGCGGAAGCCUGAUGCAGCAACGCCGCGUGCGGGAUGACGGCCUUCGGGUUGUAAACCGCUUUCGCCUGUGACGAAGCGUGAGUGACGGUAAUGGGUAAAGAAGCACCGGCUAACUGCGUG
rnacentral:rRNA from 1 species